rnacentral:rRNA from 1 species
AGGGAUCAUUACACAAAUAUGAAGGCGGGCUGGAACCUCUCGGGGUUACAGCCUUGCUGAAUUAUUCACCCUUGUCUUUUGCGUACUUCUUGUUUCCUUGGUGGGUUCGCCCACCACUAGGACAAACAUAAACCUUUUGUAAUUGCAAUCAGCGUCAGUAACAAAUUAAUAAUUACAACUUUCAACAACGGAUCUCUUGGUUCUGGCAUCGAUGAAGAACGCAGCGAAAUGCGAUAAGUAGUGUGAAUUGCAGAAUUCAGUGAAUCAUCGAAUCUUUGAACGCACAUUGCGCCCUUUGGUAUUCCAAAGGGCAUGCCUGUUCGAGCGUCAUUUGUACCCUCAAGCUUUGCUUGGUGUUGGGCGUCUUGUCUCUAGCUUUGCUGGAGACUCGCCUUAAAGUAAUUGGCAGCCGGCCUACUGGUUUCGGAGCGCAGCACAAGUCGCACUCUCUAUCAGCAAAGGUCUAGCAUCCAUUAAGCCUUUUUUUCAACUUUUGACCUCGGAUCAGGUAGGGAUACCCGCUGAACUUAAUA